CAGCAGUGGGGAAUAUUGCACAAUGGGCGCAAGCCUGAUGCAGCGACGCCGCGUGCGGGAUGACGGCCUUCGGGUUGUAAACCGCUUUUGACUGGGAGCAAGCCCUUCGGGGUGAGUGUACCUUUCGAAUAAGCACCGGCUAACUACGUGCCAGCAGCCGCGGUAAUACGUAGGGUGCAAGCGUUAUCCGGAAUUAUUGGGCGUAAAGGGCUCGUAGGCGGUUCGUCGCGUCCGGUGUGAAAGUCCAUCGCUUAACGGUGGAUCCGCGCCGGGUACGGGCGGGCUUGAGUGCGGUAGGGGAGACUGGAAUUCCCGGUGUAACGGUGGAAUGUGUAGAUAUCGGGAAGAACACCAAUGGCGAAGGCAGGUCUCUGGGCCGUCACUGACGCUGAGGAGCGAAAGCGUGGGGAGCGAACAGGAUUAGAUACCCUGGUAGUCCACGCCGUAAACGGUGGAUGCUGGAUGUGGGGACCAUUCCACGGUCUCCGUGUCGGAGCCAACGCGUUAAGCAUCCCGCCUGGGGAGUACGGCCGCAAGGCUAAAACUCAAAGAAAUUGACGGGGGCCCGCACAAGCGGCGGAGCAUGCGGAUUAAUUCGAUGCAACGCGAAGAACCUUACCUGGGCUUGACAUGUUCCCGACAGCCGUAGAGAUACGGUCUCCCUUCGGGGCGGGUUCACAGGUGGUGCAUGGUCGUCGUCAGCUCGUGUCGUGAGAUGUUGGGUUAAGUCCCGCAACGAGCGCAACCCUCGCCCUGUGUUGCCAGCACGUCGUGGUGGGAACUCACGGGGGACCGCCGGGGUCAACUCGGAGGAAGGUGGGGAUGACGUCAGAUCAUCAUGCCCCUUACGUCCAGGGCUUCACGCAUGCUACAAUGGCCGGUACAACGGGAUGCGACCUCGUGAGGGGGAGCGGAUCCCUUAAAACCGGUCUCAGUUCGGAUUGGAGUCUGCAACCCGACUCCAUGAAGGCGGAGUCGCUAGUAAUCGCGGAUCAGCAACGCCGCGGUGAAUGCGUUCCCGGGCCUUGUACACACCGCCCGUCAAGUCAUGAAAGUGGGUAGCACCCGAAGCCGGUGGCCCAACCUUUUGGGGGGAGCCGUCUAAGGUGAGACUCGUGAUUGGGACUAAGUCGUAACAAGGUAGCCGUACCGGAAGGUGCGGCUG
rnacentral:rRNA from 1 species